UACGGAGAGUGCGAACGUUGUUCGGAUUUACUGGGCGUAAAGGGCACGUAGGCGGCUCGGCAAAUCAGUCGUGGAAUCCCGACGCUUACCGUCGGAACGGCGGCUGAAAAUACCGGGCUUGAGGGCGUGAGGGGUCGCUGGAACUCCUGGUGAAGCGGUGAAAUGCGUAGAUAUCAGGAGGAACGCCGGAGGCGAAAGCGAGCGACUGGCGCGUUCCUGACGCUGAGGUGCGAAAGCUGGGGGAGCAAACAGG
rnacentral:rRNA from 1 species